ACCACUAUCAAUUAUCUAAUAUUAAUCUCUCCACUGACACAAUUUUCCUCUAUGAUUUAUAAACUUAGUUUUGUUUAUAUAUAUCAUCAACAGGGUGUGGAAUCAAGAUAAAAGGAUACUUCGGAGAGUAUAGCCCCAUUCAUACUUUCUCAUCCAUGUGCUUUGUGAAAACAGAAAAUAACUAGAUCUUGUGUUUACAAGAGUAUCGCAGAAAAUGUGCUCUCAAAUAUACUAAUUGGAAGAGCUUUUGGGGGAAGCAGUUUGGCACUAUGUUUUGAGAACCUCAAAUUGUUCACUUCCUUUGGCUUGGUGAUUCCACGAGUGAGAGAUCUACCCAAGAGAAGAUGGAAUACACAAAACACACCCAGUACACACAGUAUCACAGUAUAGAAAAGUCAUUUUGCAAAAGAUACACAUCAAAAUAUAUUUGUAAUAAGGAAAACUUGGAAGUAACUUACAAGUCCAGCAAUUUAGGGACCAGCUUAGGAGACAGUAUAAAAAUUAUGAUUUAGUCAUACAGUGGAAUAUUUUGUAGCUUUUUAAAAAUGAUGUCUAAUAUAGUAAUAGAAGAAAAUACUUAUGAUACAAUAUUAAGAGGAAAAAGCAAGAUACAAAGUUGUUUCUACAGUAUGAUUUUCUACAUUAAAAGAUUUGAGAGACACCUGUACAAAUGCUGUUUUGGUUCCUCUUGGGUGAUAAAAUCAUAGAUGAUUUUUCUUCCUCUUCCUAUCUUUCCUGUACUUUCUAAAAUACAACAAAUAUGUAUUAUUUUAAUAAUCAGAAAAUUAUUUAAAAAUCUAACUGGUAUUUCUUAAGCUGGGUGAGGAGACUCAGGUAUUCAUUUUGUCAUUUAUUUUUAUUCCUACAUACGUCAAUCAUACUUACAUAAUAUAACAGUUAACAAAGCAAAAUAUAAAUAGAUGCCUUAUAGAGAUAGGAUAUAACCAUAUAUAGUGUUACUGAAAAGUCAGGAAUCAAAAGGUGUUGUGUCUCUUGUUUGGGCAUUCACAGAGACUAUAAUUCACUGAUAGUAAACAUCACAGAAAGUAAAAUGGGGGAUAAAGAAAUGUGUUAUUUAUGAACCAAAUAUUAAUUUAAUAACCCAAAAUUUGUUUACAUGUCAUAUUAAGGGUAUGUUGAGAUUGUCUGUUUAAAUAAAAAUAAUCUUUUACUAUAUCCUAACAACCAAUAAUAAUCUUUUUUUUAAAUUGUUUAUUUAUUUGUUUAUUGGCUGUGUUGGGUCUUCGUUGCUGUGUGUGGGCUUUCUCUAGUCAUGGAGAGCAGGGGCUACUCUUUGUUGCCGUGCACGGUCUUCUCAUUGCAGUGGCUUCUCUCGUUGUGGAGCAUGGGCUCCAGGCACGUGGGCUUCAGUAGUUGUGGCACGUGGGCUCAGCAGUUGUGGCACACGAGCUCAGCAGUUGUGGCACACGAGCUUAGUAGCUCCACAGCAUGUGGGAUCUUCCCAGGCCAGGGCUCGAACCCGUGUCCCCUGCAUUGGCAGGCAGAUUCUUAACCACUGUGCCACCAGAGAAGCCCAAUAAUAAUCUUAAUAGAAGAAAAAGUUUAUCUCAUCUGGCUAUUAGAUAAAUUGUCUUCUCUAGAAGAGAGUUCCCAUUCUCUACCUGGGCUAUGGCCUUAGCCUCAUGACGGGUCUCCCUGCUGGCUUCACACAGCUGCUGGAGUGAUUCCUAUGAGAUAAUAUCUGAUGGCAUUCCUUCCAGGCUUUAUUCAAUUCCACAAAUAUUUUUUUAGCACCAUUUAGUUACCAAGCACUGUUCUAGGCACUGAAGACACAUCAGUGAACAAGAUGGAUCAAGUUCCUGCACUUAAGGAACUUAAAUUCUAAUAAGAAUAAAUAAUUCAAAGACAUGCUGACCUCUCCUGCCUUCCUGCAUCCUACCAGAUAUGUCCCUUCACCCAUCAGAUGCUGGCAUUUCUGCCUCAUGGUUUAUGUUCCGAUAGUAUUCAGCUUUUAGUGUUUCAGCUUAGGCAUCACUUCCCCCCUGAAAACCUUUAUGAGCUUCAUACUUGGGCUAAGUGGUCCUUUUCAGUGCCUCAUAGCACUGUGUGUAUAACUUUAUCACAGCACCUCCCACAUUUCACUAAAAUAUGUGUGUCUCCUUCAUGAGGUUGUAAGCACUUUGAGGAAGGAAAUUAUGACUUAAUCAUUUUUGUAAUUCCAGUGGUCAGUGCACAUGAAAGUAGAAAAGGGAAGCAGGAUUAAUAGGUUAGAAAAAGCUGGAGUGAUAUUGUUUUUGUUUUUUAAACUUUUUAUUUUUAUUUUUUUUACAAUAAACUGCAUAUAUUUGGAGCGUACAGUUUGGUAUCCCAAUCUCCCAAUCCGUUCCCACCCCCCAACCCUCCCUGCUUUCCCCACUUGGUGUCCAUAUGUUUGUUCGCUACAUCUGUGUCUCUAUUUCUGCCUUGCAAACUGGUUGAUUUGUACCAUUUUUCUAUAGUCCACAUAUAUGUGUUAAUAUACAAUAUUUGUUUUUCUCUUUCUGACUCACUUCACUCUGUGUGACAGUCUCUAGGUCCAUCCAUGUCUCUAAAAAUGUCCCAGUUUCAUUGCUUUUUACAGCUGAGUAAUAUUCCAUUGUAUGUAUGUACCACAUCUUCUUUAUCCAUUCAUCUGUUGAUGGACAUUUAGGUUGCUUCCAUGUCCUGGCUAUUGUAAAUAGUGCUGCAAUGAACAUGGGAGUGCAUGUGUCUUUUUGAAUAAUGGUGUUCUCUGGGUAUAUGCCCAGCAGUGGGAUUGCUGGGUCAAGUGAUAUUGGUUUUAACGUAUCUAGUCUGAUGGAGCAAGUGGCACAGGAAGGCUUCCUUGGGUGGGACAGUAAAAUGUUGUGAGAAAGAAAGGCUGGGGCAAAAAGAAAAGAUCUUGCUCAUGGUCAUAUUUGGCGCUUCCUCAACAUUGGUUUGUUUAUGAAUGUGGAUAUGACUUGGGUGUGGCCUUUGCUAUUAACACAGAAGGCUGCUUGUAAAUAGACAGUUCUCUGCAAAGGACUAAAUCAGACCACUUUAUUAUUCCUCUGACCCUUGUCCUUUGCCUCCCAGGUCACGGGAACAAAGAAUGUGGAUACUGUGAUCUGGUUAUGGAGAAAUAUAACCCCCAUGAAAGUAAGGAUGAGACACUCCUGUCCCAGUUUAUAUUUUUCUUACAUUGUGCAGUUAGUUAAACUAUUUGGCUACAGGCCCCUUAGUAAGUAAUUAGGAAGCAUUAAGUAAUUAACCAGGAGCAGCAUGGAGCCAGUAGUGAUUAUCUUCAAUCCCUAAAAGGAGAGUAAAUUGCAGUGAAAAAAAAAAAGAGUAAUUUUAGUGAAUGGUGAAAGUAGGCAGAGCAUCUAACCACAAUCACUAGUUAAGCCAUUAACCAAACAAGAUCACUCUCCCUAGGCAAGGUGACAUUGAAUCAAAUAAGCAUCAACAGCACAAGCAAAAAGCCACAAUGCAAUCCUAAAAUGGGGCGCAAGGCAGGAUCUGUAUCGGCUACCCUGUUUCUAAGUAGUAACAGGAAAACCCAAUGCAAGCAUGUUUAAUCAGUAAAAAGGAUUUAUGGGACCAGGAAAAGGAAGAUUCCGAAGUAAGGAAGUGAACUAAUCAGGAGAGAUUAACACUGUAAUGGAUAACCUCAAAAUUCUGGUGACUUUACACAAUCUAAAUACCUUUCUCCAUGCACUUCAGUCCAGUGUUCCUGGUCAAGCAACAGUCCUGGGACUCUGUCCUCCACACGGUUACCCAGGCUCUCUCCAUUGUCUUUCUCCACUCAACCAGCAGGUGGGGAGAGAAAAGGGAAGAUCACUGCAGAGGGGGCAGGCUUGAAAGGGGAGACAUCGAUUUGGUCCACAUUCCAUUGGCUAGAACUCAGUUAUAUGGCCAAGGAGGCUGGGAAAUAGAGUGAGCUGUGUGCCCAGGGGAAAAAGGAAACACUGGUGAAUACUUAGCUAGCUUUUGCUAGCUGCAGUGGGAGCUAAAUGUUGUCUGGCUUCUUUCCAAUGAGAAUAGAGUGCGUCAGUCCCUGUAUUCUAAGAAAGACACUGAGAUUCACCCUGAGUUGCAGGCACAUCCCUGAAGAGAUGACCUGACCAGGGGACGGCAAUGGGCUGGUGGCCUCAAGCCCACCAGAGCCCACCUCCUGAUCUGGAGGCGGGGUCAGCUUUCCCUGAAGUGUCUGGACUACAUGGACAAGAGAUUCUGCUGAACCUGGGGACAUCACUAAGGCCAUGAAGAAGAGAGGUCCCAGUUUUGAUUCACAGCAACUAAAGGUACUCAGGACUCUCCAAUUACUGCUGUGUUUCCAGUUGUACAUUUGGGACUUUGCUACCAUCGAUCCAGGGAAAGAUGUUCAGUAAACUUUCCCUAAAAGCAUCUGAAGUCUGGAACAAAUAUGGACUUGAACAGCAGAGAGUGGGGAGUGACAUAUGAGCACAAAGCUUAUGUUGAAACUAACUCCACAGAAGAUAACAGAGUUGCAGUAAACUGGCUGAUUAGUCACACCCCCUGCUCUAAUGGAGAUUACAAAAGCCAAACUGUUUUUACCGGCGACACCCAAUGAGCCAGACUAAACAGGAGGAAUUAAGGGAGUAUUUAAACUGGAGUGCUGAAUGAUGACACCAGCGUCGUUGCCUCAGAGAACUUAUACCAAAUGCAAGCCCAGCAGCCUGGAGCAAAGUAGGUGAAAACAACUCUUUCAAAGAGCUUAAGUACUCAAGUAACAAGAAACCCAAGAUCCACAGCCAGUGACAGGAGAGAGAGACUCAGGAGCACAGGGUUCUGGAAGCACCCAGCAAGAUGAGCCACUACUAGAGACAGGGUUUCUUGUCCUAGCUCUUAGAGAAAGAAGCUCGUGUACAUUUUCUUGCUGAUUUUUCACCAACCAUUUCUUUUUCAGUAAUUCUUUCCUCAUUUGCAUCUAUUUUUCGAUGUUGCCUUUGUUGCCAUUUAAAAUUAAGCAAUCCAGCAAACCACGUAAGUACCAAGUAUGAGAAGUUGAUAGAAGAUAAAUGAAAACCAUAUAUGGGUGUGACCCUUCAUAAUGCUUUUGUGAUGGAGGGAUCUUCAUUAUUCAGUGUAACAAUGAGUGUGUUACAAUAGGGUGCUGUUUCACUUGAAGCUGUAGGUAUGGGAAUGGGUAGAACAUUCAGACAUGAAAAACAAAAUUCAUUUUUCUGCCAGUGAAACUGACUGAUGAUGAAGGCACAGCGUGUCCAAAAUAAAAGUAGACACAUUUUUAGUGAAUUUUGUUUAUUACCAACAAUGAUUUUGGAGACAGUUUAUAUCAUACAGAUGGCCACUUUGGUCCUGUUGUGGCUCAUGUAGCAUGUCAAAAUUUUGAUUACUACUAAUUGUGUCUCACAUUUGCUUGUUACAAUUUUAAGAAGUGUUUUUCAUACACUUCAGCCCAGUCGUUGUCACCUUGACGUCUGUUUCAUCUUAGCUCAAUGUAACUUAAAUCUUAGAUACAUAAAACUAGAUCCUUCUAAGAAAUAACCCUGGAUGAAAAAUACUAUAAGGUAUUAAUAAUAGUGUAAUAAUUUGAAAUAUCUAGAAUUACAGAGGAAUCUAGAAACCAUUACAUCAUGGUCCUCUGGCUUGCCUCCUUCCUGGAGUCCAUUCCCAGGUCAUGUCAGGAGAUCCAUGAACUGAGGCUCAUCUACAAAAGUCUCCAUCUUGGGUGCACUCCAGAAGCUUCUAUAAGAAAUCACAGAGCCCAGGCCACACCUCGGAUCAAAUAAAUCAGUAUCUCUGAGGGUGGGAUCCAGGUAUCAGUAUUUGUAAAAUUUCCAGGUGAUUCUAAAAUGCAGCUGGAUUUGAGAACCAUUGUCCCUAUAUAAAAAGGAACCUCCUGAUGGAAAAUGAGGUUGUGUGAUCCUUCUGGCAUACAGAAUUUUGGCAUCCCAUCAUUUCUAAUAAUGUUUGAAGAAUCAAAAGCACGCUUAUUCUUUGAGAAGAUCUUUUACAGACACUGCAUAAAGAGUUUUCCCCAUGUUUGCAAUAGAUUUGGAGUGGUGGAAGCAUUUUAAAAUUAAAUGAGGGAUGGGCAUAAUGAAACUAAUUGGUAAUUACUUACAGACCAUUUAUUUCUGCUAAGGCAGCAACUUGCUUUGUUGGAAUUACUGGCUGCAGAUUAAGGAAGAGGAUCUUGAAAGAACAUUUACAGUAACUGAGUCACCUGCUGUCACAACAAACCAAUUUUUUACCUGAGAAGCUUUCAAAUUCAGGAAUAGUAAAUGCUUUUAAAUGAAUUGUAACAAGCACAAGAUAUAGAUAAAUGACUGGGGAGUCAGUUGCUCAAGACUAAAUGUCCAAAAUUCUUCCUUAAAUCUAGCUCUGACAUUGACUCACUCAUUGAUCUUUUGGGAUUUAGUUUUUUAUGCUUUCAUUUUCCCAUCUAUAAAAUAGAGUAUUAGCAUCUGUUUCAUGGAGGUAUUAAAAUAAUUAUUUAUAAUGCACUUUGAAGAUGAAAAAUACAUAUAAUUACAUUCCAUGAGAGUUCCCAUGGGAGUUGCUGAAGAUAUGACUGAAGCUCAUUGUUCAAGCUGGAAGUUCGACUCUCUUAAAUGUGUGCUUUUUCAACUCUUUGUCGAUUCAUUGAUUCAACAAAUAUUCAAUUGUGACCCACCAUGUGCUGAAGCUUCGGUUACUCAGUGGUGAAAAACAUCCCCUGUGCUCAUGAAGUUAUAGUCCUGUGUGGGGAAACAGACAACAAGCAACCAGUCAUAUCCAGGUAAUAGUAAGUAGUGCUUUAGGAAGGGGUAGGAGGAGAUGGGUAAAGAAAUAGUUAAACAGGGUAGGAGUGUGGAGCCAAUUUAGUUGGGGUGGUUAGAGAAGGUCUCUAGGGAAGGUAACAAGAAAAAGUGCAGGAAGGAAUUUCACGUAGACAUCUUAGGAGAGAGAUUUCCAACUAGAGGGAUUCAUAAGUGGACAGUGUUCUGGAUCUUCAAGAGUAAUACAAAGGCCAUCACAACUGAGAUGGAGUGAGGAGAUUUAUUUUAAAUUAGUAUCGAUCCAUGCAUCAUCAGAGUCAAAGUAAUACUGCACUUCUUUUCCAAGUAUGUGAUGAUGGCUUACAGAUCAGCAUAGGAACUCCAAAAACACAGUCCUAAAUAUUCUUUUCUUUUCUUUCUUUUUCUUUCUUCCUUCCUUCCUUUCUUUCUUUCCCUCCCUCUUUCUUUUUCUUUUUCUUUCUUUUUCUUUUUCUUUCUCUUUCGCUUCCUCCCUACCCCCCCUCCUUCCUCCCUCCAUCUCUCUCUCUCUCCUUCCUUCCUUCCUUCUUCUUACAGUUUUAUUGAGAUAUAACUGACAUACAGCACUGUAUAAGCUUAAGGUGUACAGCAUAAUGACGACGUAGAUACAUCAUGAAAUGAUUAUCACAAUAGGUUUAGUGAACAUCCAUCAUCUCAUAUAGAUACAAAAUAACAGAAAAAUAAAAACAUUUUUUCUUAUGAUGAGAACUCUUAGGAAUUACUCCCUUUAACAACUUUCAUACAUACUGUACAGCAGUGUUUAUUAUAUUUAUCACAUUGUACAUUAUAUCCCUAUUACUUUAUCUUGUAACUGAACAUUCUUUUCUUAGUCAAAUAUUUAUUAGUACCCAUUAUUUUCUAGAUUAAAAAAUUUUUGUUUUCGAGAAGUAUAAACUUUAGAGAAUUAUAUACCUAAGUUUGCUCUCAGAUGAAACAAUUAACUCAGUAUGAAGUUUGUGUUAGUGUUUAGGCAGAUUCUAUGGUGAUGCUACGCUUUUUUUUUCUUUUUAGUUCUAGCCAAGUUGAAUAAUAAGAAAAAAGUGACUCCUAAAAAAUAAUGACACUGGAAUUAGACUCCAAAGGACUAAUUUUUAUUUUCUCUAUGAUCUCAAACAAGUCACUGUAUUUUUUGAUUAGGCUGAAAGAUUAUUCAUAGGAACACAGUGAAUGCUUUCUAGAAGUUUAUAUCUUGUAGAAUAUAAUACUGACAAAGGAAAACAUACUAACAUGUUUAUGAUCAGAAUAAGAAAACAUUUGUAAAAUAUUGAAUAUUUUAGGCAAACCAAAAGGUAUAGAUAAUAAUACAAUGGAUAACACAUUUUGGUUAAAAAUAAUCUAUAAUCUAUAUUUGAUUUCAUUUAUGUAAGGUUAACAGCAAUGAAUGCUUAAAUAGCCUUGGUCUUUUUUUCUCUUUCUCUUUCUUUUUAAAUUUAAUCAACUCAUGGCCAAAACUAUAUCCUCUAUACCCAAAUGACAGAUAUCAUAUCAUUUUAUCUAUAAAUAUUUCAUUAUGUACCUUGAAAAGAUAAUCUUAAAAAGGAACACUGAACAAUACUUCCUUUAUAUCAUUGCAUAUCCAGUCAGUGUUCAAAUUUCCCUUAUUGUCUCAUAAUUUUUAAAAAUUCAAUGGAUUUUUAAAAUCUGUGGUAAAAUAUGCAUAACAAAAUUUAUCAUUUUAAUCAUUUUUAAGUGUACUGUUCAGUGGUAUCAGUCCAUUUACAUUGCUGCACAAUCAUCACCGCCAUCCAUCUCCAGAACUUUUUCAUUUUCCCAAACUGAAAUUACAAACCCAUUAAACAAUAACCCCCAAUUCCUCCCUGCCUCCUCCCCCAGAAGUAUGACAACCAUCAUUCUACCUUCUGUCUCUAUGAGUCUGAAUACUCUAGGUACCUCAUAGAAUUGGAAUUAUACAGUAUUUGUCCUUUUGUGACUGGCUUAUCUCACUGAGCAUAAUUGUCUUCAAGGUUCAACUAUGUUGUAGCAUAUGUCAGGAUUUCCUUCCUUUUUAAGGCUGAAUAAUAUUUCAUUCCAUGUAUAGACCACAUUUUGUUUAUCUGAUUGUCUCAUAAUUCUUUUUAACUGUCUUAUUUCCAUCUUUAUUUACAAAUUCACUGAAUUAUUUGGGGGCAAAAAGGCACAUAGAAUAUGUGGUAGUGAUAUUUUUCAAAACCCAAAGAGAUGAGGAAUCUAAGAAUCAAAUGACAGAAUUUAAAGGCUUUGUAAGACCUUUUUAGGAGCUCCAGCAAUCCAAAGUCCAGUGGUUAGGACCGGCGCUUUCACUGCUGUGAGCGAGGGUUCAAUCCCUGGUCAGGGAACUAAGAUCCCACAAGUCUCAUGGUGUGGGAAAAAAAACAAACAAAAAACCAAAACAAAAAAACCCUGCUUUCCACGGGGCCAGACUGUUCUCUUCUUUAGCAGAUAUGGUAUCUGCCCCAUGGUAAGACAUCAUUGCAGAGUGCUCUGAACCAGUGAGCCUGGCUCUGUGUGCCCAGCUUGGCUGGUCGGGAGAGGACUGUGCUCUGGCAAGUUGAUUCAGUGUCUCUGGCAGAGACAUUGCAGCAUUUGUCCCCAGACAGAACUUCCUAAUACAUCUGAAAUCACCAUGUAGAGCAACAAGAUGCUAUGAGCCUGCAUCGUCAUUAAGUCACUUCUAAUGCGGUCUCUUGAAAGACUGUGUAAAUGUCAGAGAGUCAAAUGGGAAUAGAUGUUUUGCAUUAUUGAUGUGAAGCAGGGAAUGAAAAUCUGAAGAUUCUGAAUUCACUGUAGUUAAUCAUAUGUUGAUGAAGUUGGGAUCUUGGAAUUACAGUUCUAGGACUUCCCAACUUCUUUCCAACCUACUCUUUCAAAAUAUUAUACUCAGGUCAGCAUAAGGGUCACAUAGAGAUAACACUGGUGUAAAAAAUUCCAGCAAAUUGUGUAAUUGCAAAAUUUCCACCAUUGAUGUGAAAUUUAAUUGAUAGUUAAAAGGGAUGAGAUGGAGCUAUGUGUAAUGAGGUGGAUAGACCUACAGUCUGUCAUACAGAGUGAAGUAAGUCAGAAAGAGAAAGACAAAUAUUGUAUGCUAACUCACAUAUACGGAAUCUAAAAAUGGUACUGAUGAACUCAGUGACAAGAACAAGGACACAGGUACAGAGAAUAAUGGACUGGAGAACUCGAGGUUUGGGAGGGGGCGGGGGGUGAAGGGGAAGCUGAGACGAAGUGAGAGAGUAGCACAGACAUAUAUAUACUACCAACUGUAAAAUAGCCAGUGGGAAGUUGUUGUAUAACAAAGGGAGUUCAAUUUGAGGAUGGAAGAUGCCUUAGAGGAC